rnacentral:tRNA from 1 species
GGGCAGAUACCGAAGCGGUCAAACGGGGCAGACUGUAAAUCUGCUGGCCCUGUGCCUUCGAAGGUUCGAAUCCUUCUCUGCCCACCA